GCCACUGUAGCUCAACGGUAGAGCAAUCGCUUCGUAAGCGAUAGGUUAAGGGUUCGAUUCCCUUCAGUGGCU
rnacentral:tRNA from 1 species